GCCACCAUUUGGAUGCUUUGAUGAUACUCAGUGUCUGGUCCUAAUGUACAAAAGCUUCUGCUUAGAGAUCUUUCAUGUGGCAAUGAUGGGAAGGUGAGCUGAGAGAGAAGUCCCUCUGCGGCCAGGGCUACUGACCAUCAAGACUCAGGGUCCACCCCUGCCCCACUAGCAUCCUCACCCAGCCUGAGUGGGGGCUCGGCAGCGCACCCACUUCGGCCACCACAAGCAACCUCAGGCUCUUGGCCUGAAUGCUAACGUUUCUUCACCCUCUCCACUUGCAUCAGAGGCCACUACAGUCCAGAUUCUCCAGGCCCCCGCAAAAGCCAAUCUCUGGGCAACUCUCCUCUGAGGUGGAGGGGCCCUAGCUCAAGGUGCUGUCAUGCGUGCACGUUUGUUUUGCUUUGUUCGGGUCCCCGUGGUUUGAGGACAAAGACAAGUCACCCUCCAACAACUUCUCAAAGCAGAAAAGGAAGCUCUGUCCAACCCUCCUCCUCCUCUCCCAGUCUACUCACUUUUAAAAGCCUCAAAGGAGAAAUGAGUUCAAACCUACUGUAUCAGAAAGGACCCAGCUGUGGAAAAUGGAGGGAAAUGGAGCCCCAUCCGCUGAGGUGACCCAGAACUCAGCAGAGAGACUUCAAAAGUUCAGAGCACAGCAAGGACAGGGUCCCUGAUGGCCACAUGAGACCUGGUUUCCAAUUCUAUUGCUGCAACUACAGAGCUGUGUGACCUUAAACAAGAUGCAUCCCUCUCUGAGCCUCUUUCCUUUACCUAUACAGUAAGCCAGCUGGGAAGACUGUGGCUUGGAAGGCAAUCUGCC
rnacentral:lncRNA from 1 species